UAAUGUUAUUUUUCUCUAUUGCAUGGGAUAUCUUUCUUUAGCCAUUUGUUUUUAUUUAAUUCUAAUCAUGACAUUAAAUAAGAAGGAUAAAUUGCAAGAUAAGCAUUUAUCUAGAUGACGUGGAGAUCACUUGAGAAAACAUCCUACAUUAAUUGCAAGAUAAAUGAUAUGAAAAGGACAAUCCAUUUGCAUAGCAAAAUGUUAUUGUCUCAUUACAUUAAUAUGAACAUUAAUUGCUAGACAGGUGACAUCAAAAGACAACCCAUUACAGAAAUUUUUCAGUAUCGCAUAACAUUAACACAUCAUUACUUGCUAGGUUAGUGAGAUCAAAAGAUAAAUCAUGAUUUGGCAAAUUGUUAUUGCCUUAUCCGAGCGACGUCUCUAAUGAUAGAGAAGCGCUUAUCCGUCAUCGAUAAGUUUUCUAGUUUUAUCAUAACAUUACUAGGGUAAACAUUAAUUACUAGAUAUGUGACAUCCAUGGAUAAACCCAUUGUGUAGCAAAUCGUUAUUGUCUCAUAGCAAUAAUACAAGUAUUACCACUAGACAAGUGACAUAAGAAACAACCAUCGUAUAGCAAAUUGUUAUUGUAUUACUACCCGAGAUGCCCUUGUCGACCCAAGCCACUAUUCGGUUGGGCCCACACGACCGUGCAAGCUUCUUCUCGUAACGACUAGCACAUCCUAUUGGAGAUGCUCUAACACACAACCGCUCGAAGCGGCCAUACUCAAAAGUUGUACACAUGUGCAGUGUAUGCAAUGAUACAUACAAAGAUUGACCCCAUCUCGGGUAAUCCUCCACUUAAUCAUCACUUCAUCACUGAAAAGCUAAUCUACUAUAGACAAGACAAAAGAAACCAAAAAAUAAAAUAAAAAUCCCAAACACUUUCAACCGGACAUCACUGCACUACAUCAGCGCUGACAGUGCACUCCCAGCCAAACAACGG
rnacentral:lncRNA from 1 species